AUUUUAGGUAAAGCUUUGUAAGAAAUACCAAUAAUCAUACAUAAAAAAUAAUUAACCCACCUGACUGGUGAUGAGGGUCUUCUAACUACAGAACACUACUUCUCAGGAAGCAGCCUUCACCCAAGAGAUGCUCCCCCUUCAGAGGCUAGCCCUUAAGUGAGCCCAGGGAGGACCCAAGGUCUACCCCUUGCAGUCAGGUGGGAGACACAGGUGAAUUGCUGGCACCUGUGUUUCCUGGGCCAAUCUUCCCAUUCAUUUAGUGCUCAAUCAUCAAUUAUAGUGUCAUGGUUUUGUAACUUCGCUAUUGGUAUUCCACAUCAUAACAUCAUGGACAAAAGAGAAGAACUACGUAUCCCAGAGGACCUCACGGUCAGAGAAGGAAGACACAUCACGGAAGAUACGUCAUCUGGUUGCGCGCGGUGCUUCUUCACUUUCGCUUGCUGCCGGGAGAGGAGUGGGUGUGCUUUCCAAGCCGGGCGCCUUCAUCAAGUAGGGCUUUCGGUUUCAGAAACUCUCUCACUCUCUUUCUCUCUCUCUCUCUCUCUCUCUCACUCUUUCGCUCUCUCUCAUUUCAUUUGAUUUAUUAUCCUUACUCCCAAUUAGAUUGUAUUAUAUCAUGUCAUCUUGCAUUCCAACAUCGUAGUUAGUAAAAUAAGUUCUUCUUAGAUGGUUGCCGCUGCUCCGUUUUGACAAAUUAUAAUAUACAGGAUAACUAACUAACCCAAUGACCCCUACCCUGCUUGUUUAACAUCUACGCAACUACUCAAAGCUUUUACCCAAUGGUUUCAUGACUAUGAAAGUAAAAGAACAUGGUGAAGGAGGAGAGUUAGUUAUAACAACCAUACAGAGUAAGACAUAUAGGACAUGGAUUUAAAUGAAAGUGGGGGCAGUAGCCUGUGGCAUUUCCCUAUUAUCUAUACUUCUUUCAUUCUUGCAAGCUUGUUAGACUAAUUCUUUUUAUUAAGAAUAAGUGGUGCUUCAAGAUGUUGUGGUAUUUAUAAAGCAGAGGCACAA
ensembl:lncRNA